GUCCCUCCUCCCACCCUGCGAGGUGCUCGUGUUCCCCCGCAGCGGGGCUGUGGAUCGAGGGUUGGGUUUUAGUGCUGGGCUGCUGUCGCCUGAGGUGCUCGGGAGUGGCCUCCCGAGGUGCCCUGGCCAUGGCCAGCAGAUAACGCACGGGGCUCGCCCAGGGUCACCUGGCGCGCCUUGGAGUUCGACCAGCGUAGGGCUGGGAGUUGUGCUGGGGGAAUGAUUAACGUGGCCACAGACGCCUAUCGAGGCGAGAUCAGUGGAAUAUGGGGUUGACAAGGUGUGUUCAGCAGCCCCCAUCUCUGCUUUCUUUUUUCUCUCCCCCAGUCUGGUUGCAGGUGAUGUGCCACCAAGCUCGGUGGGAGCAGAAAUGAGGCUGAGCUCCCCACGCAGCAGAAACCUCAGCUCUGAAGGCUGCGGCUUGACCGCACUGAGGGAAUUGCUGGCAAAAUAAGGAACCUCACCCGCCUGGUCAGGCGGAAAACCCUGACUUUUUCUCUGCUGUCAAGGCUUUUGGCAUCGCCCUCUCAGGUCAAGCAGCCACCAUAGGCAGAGGGAUGUGUUAGUUCCCAGAGGUUGGCGAGAGCUCUUGUUUUACAGCAGCAGCCUGCAAGCCGCCGGGAGCAAAGCAAGUGCGGCUUCUGCUUUGCCAUGCCUGGUCCCCUCUGAUGCUCUCAGCCCAGGGGAAGUUGGUGGAAAAUGUGGAAGUGCUGCAGCAGGCAGCCUGCAAAACAGACCUUUACAUCUGGGCAAAGAAGCAAUUGGUAAAAAAAUGUUGUCCUUUUUCUAAUUAAAGAAACCUCAGCAACUAAGUCAAAACUUCUGCAUCUCUUCCUGCUGAAAUCCAUCAGGGUUUCUGUGGAGCCUGUGCUUUUACCCCAAGUUACAAGCUGUUGCUUCAGGUGGCGUUUUACCUUACAAAUUACACUGUUGGCUCAGAGCUGUUGUUGAAGAGCCGGAGUUGUUUCACAGUGAUAGGCAAUACGUGUUCAGCAGCCCCUGGGCUUCAUUUCAGUGUUUCAAAUUAGGUUCCCAUACCCUGGGUACUCAACAUUUAGGACAAUUAAAUGAGCAGUCUUGUUUCAU